rfam:Manacus vitellinus contig44723, whole genome shotgun sequence.
GGGGCUGCUGUGAUGACAGCAUAGUUCAGCAGAUGAGCCGUGAUGAUCACACUGUCACUGUCUUUCGCUCCUGUCUGAUGCAGCCUC